GUCCUUGAAGCGCAAUGGCUAGCGCUUCGGACUCCUAAUUCAAAAAUCGUGGACUCGAAUUCCACGUAGGAUG